UAGAGUGCAGUGCGCGUUGAGGCAACUUGCACUGGAGUAACAGUAAAUCAGACCGAGCAGCCCUAGAAACCCCAGCAGUGAAACUGUAAACCUUAUUGCUUGUAUUUUUGGCCGCUGACAGGACAGCAACUCGGAUCCACUGCGGUCGUCUUUUCUCGGCGAGACUCAAGUGUUGUACGGCGAAGGGGAGCGACAACAAGAGCUGCAGCUGGGGGAGGACCGUUUUCCGCCUACUUUUUUCCUGCUAAUAUCUCAAUAUUAUAUCACACUGGAAAUGUCCGAAAACAAGCCGAAUGACGAGCCAAAGUUAUCCACGACAGACAGGGUGGUGAAAUCCGUCCCCUUCCCGCCUAGUCACCGCCUGACAGCUAAGGAGGUGUUCGACAGCGAGGGCAAGCCCAAGGUGGAUGUGCUGAAGGCCCACCUGACCAAGGAGGGGCGCGUGGAUGAGACGGUGGCGCUCAGGCUAAUUGGGGAGGGAGCAGCCAUUCUUCGCGCGGAGAAGAACCUGCUGGACAUUGAGGCUCCAGUGACAGUGUGCGGCGACAUCCAUGGACAGUUCUUUGACCUGAUGAAACUCUUCGAAGUGGGAGGCUCCCCCGCAUCUACACGCUACCUAUUCCUGGGGGACUAUGUCGACAGAGGGUAUUUCAGUAUUGAAUGUGUGCUGUACUUGUGGGCCUUAAAGAUCCUCUACCCCAAAACACUGUUCUUGCUGCGUGGGAACCAUGAAUGUAGACAUUUAACAGAGUAUUUCACAUUUAAGCAGGAAUGUAGAAUUAAGUAUUCAGAGAGGGUGUAUGACGCAUGUAUGGACGCCUUCGACUGCCUUCCCCUGGCUGCACUUAUGAACCAGCAGUUCCUGUGUGUACACGGAGGACUUUCUCCAGAAAUCACAAAUCUUGACGACAUCAGGAAACUAGACAGAUUCAAAGAGCCUCCAGCGUAUGGGCCUAUGUGCGAUCUGCUGUGGUCCGACCCCCUGGAGGACUUUGGAAAUGAAAAGACCCAGGAGCAUUUCACACACAACACAGUGCGAGGCUGCUCCUACUUCUAUAGCUACCCUGCCGUUUGCGACUUCCUACAUCACAAUAAUUUAUUAUCUAUCAUCCGGGCCCAUGAAGCGCAGGAUGCCGGAUAUCGCAUGUACAGAAAGAGUCAGACGACUGGCUUCCCAUCCCUUAUCACCAUUUUCUCCGCACCCAACUACCUUGAUGUCUACAACAACAAAGCGGCUGUACUGAAAUACGAGAACAACGUGAUGAACAUCCGACAGUUCAACUGCUCGCCUCACCCUUAUUGGCUACCCAACUUCAUGGACGUCUUUACCUGGUCGCUGCCCUUCGUUGGCGAGAAAGUGACCGAAAUGCUCGUCAAUGUCUUGAGCAUCUGUUCCAACGACGAGCUGACAACCGACGAGGAGCUGGACGGUGCCACGGCUUCUGCUCGCAAGGAAGUGAUCCGCAACAAGAUCCGCGCCAUCGGGAAGAUGGCCCGGGUAUUCUCUGUGCUCAGGGAGGAGAGUGAGAGCGUGCUGACGCUGAAGGGUCUCACCCCGACUGGCAUGCUACCGAGCGGCGUGCUGUCCGGCGGCAAAGAGAAGCUGCAGAACGAAACCGCAGGUAUAUUCAGUUGUGCAAGUAUCCCCGCUUUUCUUCCCCACCCGUUUUGUGAGAUCAGUUUAGUUUAGUCCCGCUCACCCUCUCAUGUUCAAUAUUGCAAACUCAAAAGGCUUUGAAAUGCACCGGUUUGAGUUGGACAAGUUCAGUAAACACGCUGACUAGUGUGGAGUUCAGCAGUAAGUAAACAUGUCUGGUGUACAGUAAGUGAGUAGAUUGUCACAGAUAGCCAGUAGUGAAUGAAAGAGGGAGUAACUGCCUUUUUAUUCAUUAAUAAAACAGGAAUCGGGGCAACUUUGCUCGCCUCCCACAAGGUAAAGAUUUUUUUUAAAUGAGACAAUGUGAAUAAAUGAACAGUGAAUGUGUUCAGAAGGCAAUCACUUUUAGAGUUUUGCAAUUGUAAUUGGGUUUCAUUAACCUUCAAGAGGUCCUUAAUUCCCUCCUUGGGACAAAAAAUGUCAGCUGCUUAAAAAUUUAAAUCAAAUAAAAUACUACACUGUAUAUGUUUUCCCACUUUAAACCAGUCAAUCUUUGAAAACUCCUUUAGCCUAAAAUAUCACAUAUUAAUUAUAUUUGAAAGGGAUCUUAACCCUCUAAAGACCUGUAACUUUAACACAUAAAUACAGAUUAAGCCAUUAUCAAUAAUAAUCUGAUUUAAAAUUGUAACACAUUUAACCCAUCUGCAGCAAAACAGUAAUAGUUUCCUUUUUUUAUUUACUUUUCAAGGGCAUUUUUCUUCCUAUUAUAAAUAUUAUUUGGCCCUAAGAUCAUUAAUUGGCAGGAACAUUGAUCGUUUUUCUACAGUCAGAUUUAAAACAAAAACUCUUAUUCAAGAAGCAUUUCCCAAAAAGCUGCUGUAAAAAGAUUAUAUAUUCAUAUUCUUUCUAUUUGAAAUGAGUCAGUUAUUUAAAACUACUGUACUUCAGUCUAAAAAUAUAAUAUAUAACAAUAUUAUUUAUACAAAGGAACAAGAGAAAGCUAAAAUAGUAACACAUUCACGCAUUAUUCAUUAUUAAUAGUGACACCCACUUAUCAUUUCAGUAGCAAGACACUAAGUUGAUUGCAUUAGUCAACAUGAAGGUUAAUGUGGGAUCAAAAAUGCCUUUUUAGUUAGAAAUAACUUUUUAUGUAGCUAGUUUUUAAACUUUAUUUAUAAAUAUCUUUUGGCAAAUUUCACCUAAAUCCAUUCAACGCAGCCCAAAUGUAAAAAAAUGAAGCUAAAGGCCCCAAUGAUUAUUUAAGGGUUAAACUACAGCAAAAGAAAAUGGACCUUUUUUGCACUGUUUGGAAACUUCCACGAUUGUUUUGCUUGGAGGUACAGCUCUCUACCUCAUGAUUGGAAUACUCAACUAAUGAUAAUCAUGUUAAAUACAAACCAUCACCAAAUUUGGAGUAUUGAAUUAUUUUAGCACGAAAACCUGGACAAAAACGUUGGAAACGAGCAAGGUUCUCAGAUUCCUGUGGCAACAUGGGAAGAAUCACAUGACCUCCCUCCUUCAGGCCCGGCGUGCUGCUCCGCUAUCAUUGGUAACGUCAUCAACCUCAUCAGUCUGUGUGUGUCUUCCUGUGACUUUCCAAUAAUUGACAUUGUUGUUUGUUUAGCAAUGGAAACAAACGGUAAGUUGGAAAUCCAUUUAAUGUAUCCUAUCAAAAAAAAGACACCUCCCACGUCCACUCAUUUUCAUCCCUGCUUCAAGAGACUACUUCGACUGGACGCCGACCCGUCUUGUCCCACACAUUGUCCCUCUGUCUUCCUCCUCCUUUCGCUAUACCGUAAUGAGGACGUGAUGAGUGUUGUCUCUUUGACUUGUUGUUGUUGGUGGGACACAAAAAUGACCUCCUCUUUGCUCACCUCUCUCAUUCGUUUUGCAACCCCCCUCUUCUUCUCUUCAGCUACUAUUGAAGCCAUUGAGGCUGACGAAGCCAUUAAAGGCUUUUCGCCCCAACACAAGAUCACCAGUUUCGCGGAGGCGAAGGGUCUGGACCGCAUCAACGAGAGGAUGCCGCCGCGACGGGAUGCCCUGCCCUCGGACGCCAGCCUCAACUCCCUC